AUUGAACGCUGGCGGCAGGCCUAACACAUGCAAGUCGAACGGUAACAGGAAGCAGCUUGCUGCUUUGCUGACGAGUGGCGGACGGGUGAGUAAUGUCUGGGAAACUGCCCGAUGGAGGGGGAUAACUACUGGAAACGGUAGCUAAUACCGCAUAACGUCGCAAGACCAAAGAGGGGGACCUUAGGGCCUCUUGCCAUCGGAUGUGCCCAGAUGGGAUUAGCUAGUAGGUGGGGUAACGGCUCACCUAGGCGACGAUCCCUAGCUGGUCUGAGAGGAUGACCAGCCACACUGGAACUGAGACACGGUCCAGACUCCUACGGGAGGCAGCAGUGGGGAAUAUUGCACAAUGGGCGCAAGCCUGAUGCAGCCAUGCCGCGUGUAUGAAGAAGGCCUUCGGGUUGUAAAGUACUUUCAGCGGGGAGGAAGGGAGUAAAGUUAAUACCUUUGCUCAUUGACGUUACCCGCAGAAGAAGCACCGGCUAACCCCGUG
rnacentral:rRNA from 1 species